AUUGAACGCUGGCGGCAUGCUUUACACAUGCAAGUCGAACGGCAGCACGGGGGCAACCCUGGUGGCGAGUGGCGAACGGGUGAGUAAUAUAUCGGAACAUAUCCGGAAGUGGGGGAUAACGUACCGAAAGGUACGCUAAUACCGCAUAUGCCCCGAGGGGGAAAGGGGGGGAUCGCAAGACCUCUCGCUUUCGGAGUGGCCGAUAUCGGAUUAGCUAGUUGGUGAGGUAAAGGCUCACCAAGGCGACGAUCCGUAGCUGGUCUGAGAGGACGACCAGCCACACUGGAACUGAGACACGGUCCAGACUCCUACGGGAGGCAGCAGUGGGGAAUUUUGGACAAUGGGCGCAAGCCUGAUCCAGCCAUGCCGCGUGAGUGAAGAAGGCCUUCGGGUUGUAAAGCUCUUUCAGCCGGAAAGAAAUUGCUCCUAUUAAUACUGGGAGCGGAUGACGUACCGAAGAGA
rnacentral:rRNA from 1 species